rnacentral:lncRNA from 1 species
CUCUCUUAAUAAAUCAUCCUAUCAAGUUGCUAUGGUGAAGGCAACCCAAAAGGACCAUGCACAACCGGGUCAAAUACUUGCCUAAUAUAGUUGCAGCCUUAGACACUAUUCCAACAGUCUCCCACUUGGAUAAGUCUAGUAACUAUAUGCACAAGUACAAUUCGGUUUGCAAUCGUAGCUCUCAAAGACGCUGUCAAACUCUGAUCUAAUCAAUCUUGUCCUUUAGAUAAGGGAUCGUACAGUCCUCUGUUAGAUAUCAUGCUGACAAUCCUAUGGAAUGGUUAGUCAAGCAUUUAGGUUUCUCGAUCUCUGAUUUAUUUGACAUAGAACUUAAUCGAACACAUCAAUUCAGUUCUGACCGGGCCCGGCACAUAAGUCAAAUCAAAUCAUCGAGCGGCCGAGAUAUCGCUUUUACCUUCUUAGAUAAAAGUUACAGAUAAACUUCGACUUAUAUGCAUUUACUUAUUCAUUAACCAACUAUACACAACAAUACGUUUUAUAACACCGAGUUACUGAUGCGUUUUCGCAUUAUCAAUGUACAAUCAAUUAACAAAUAACAAACCAUAUAUCUAGGUUUUAAGACUAUAUGAUAUUAUCGUCUUGCGAUCACCCUUUUAUAUCAUAUUCCAUAAGGUGAUUCCAGCAAGCGCGGGUUUGUUCCAAUGCUCAAAACUAGUUCAUAAGCACUCAUGAACGUUGCAGCAACCCUUUGCUAUGUCUAACACCAUUUAGACAAUCUACACACCAAUUCAUGACAAUCUUCAUUCAUAUCUACUUCCAACAUAUGAACGAUUGUGGACAAUUUGAACAAUUCGAUUAUUCCUAAUAAACUCAAUUAUUCUGGAAGUCAAAACAUGCAAAGUGAAACAAUAGUUAAACAAUUAACAUAAGAUAGUAACAUUACUCAUAAAUAAAACUCCUUUAUUUAAUCAUCAAAUGUUAAUUACAUUUAUCUAUUACACGUUUCUAAUACUAUCUAAUCUAUGCUAAUAUCAUCCUUCAGCCCAAUACUCCUAGCAUGCUGCAAGUGCUUAACCCUACUCAGUCCCUUCGUAAGCGGAUCUGCUGGGUUAUCUUCUGAUGAUAUCCUCUUCACUACGAGUUGUCCUUCUUCUACACGAUGUCUAAUGAAGUGAUAUUUUCUGUCGAUAUGUCUUGAUCUACCAUGAUCCCUCGGUUCCUUGGUCAAGGCAACCGCUCCUUCGUUAUCACAGAAAAUCUCCAUGGGCUCCUUUAUGGCAGGUACAACUCCAAGAUCACCGAUGAAGUUCUUUAGCCAUAUUGCCUCCUUCGACGCUUCGCUCGCUGCAAUGUACUCUGAUUCGCACGUUGAAUCAGCUACGGUUUCCUGCUUGGAACUCUUCCAUGUCACUGCUCCUCCAUUUAGGGUAAAGACCCAGCCCGACUGCGAACGGUAGUUGUCCCUGUCGGUCUGAAAACUGGCGUCACUAUACCCUCGCACCUUCAAGUCAUCACUCCCUCCGAGGACUAAGAACCAUUCCUUCGUCCUCCGAAGGUACUUAAGGAUAUUCUUCACCGCAAUCCAAUGUGCUCUGCCAGGAUUCCCUUGAUAUCUGCUAACCAUGCUCAAAGCGAAGGCUACAUCAGGGCGAGUACAAGUCAUAGCGUACAUGAUUGAGCCAACUGCGGAAGCGUAUGGUACUCGGCUCAUUUCUGCUAUCUCAGCUUCGGUACUCGGACUUUGAGUCUUACUCAAUUUGGCAUUACUUUGUAUCGGUAGUUCUCCCUUCUUUGAGUUUUCCAUACUAAAACGUUUUAGUACCUUCUCUAAGUAAGUAUUCUGACUAAGUCCAAUUAGUCUCUUACUUCUUUCUCUUACUAUCCUUAUUCCCAAAAUGUAAGAAGCCUCUCCGAGGUCCUUCAUAGCGAAGCACUUCCCGAGCCAGGACUUAACCUCCUGCAGAGUCGGGAUGUCGUUUCCUAUGAGUAAUAUGUCAUCGACAUAUAGAACGAGGAAGCUUACUAUACUCCCACUGGCUUUGACAUAUACACAAGAUUCGUCUUCGCUUCGUACAAAUCCAAACUCUUUGACUUUCUCAUCGAAGCAAAGAUUCCAUCUGCGAGACGCUUGCUUAAGUCCAUAAAUGGACUUCUCAAGCUUACACACUCUAUUCGGAUGCUUCGGAUCCACAAACCCCUCUGGCUGAGCCAUGUAAACAUCCUCAGCCAACUUUCCGUUAAGGAAAGCGGUCUUGACAUCCAUUUGCCAAAUCUCAUAAUCAUGAAAUGCGGCAAUUGCUAGCAUCACUCUAAUAGAUUUAAUCUUCGCAACUGGUGAGAAGGUCUCAUCAUAGUCAACUCCGGGAGUUUGAGUAAAGCCCUUCGCAACCAAUCGCGCUUUAUAUGUGUGUACGUUUCCAUCCACGUCGGUCUUCUUCUUGAAGAUCCAUUUGCACCCAACGGUCUUACGUCCGGGCACAUAAUCAACCAAAUUCCAAACUUGGUUAUCAUACAUGGAUUGGAUCUCGCUAUCCAUUGCCUCUUUCCAUUUUGCAGACUCCGGGCCUGCCAUGGCUUCCUUAUAGCUAUUAGGUUCAUCAAGAUUUAUUAGUGUACCAUCACUAAUAUACGUGUCCCCUUCGGUAGUAAUAUGAAAACCAUAAAACUGGGGUUGAACUCUAACUCUAUCGGAACGUCUAAGAGGUAAGGAUUCGUCAAUCGGUUCAACCGGAGUUUCCUCCUCGGGUUGAAUGCCAGCGGUAGAGGUUCCUUCAUCUAUCGACUCUUGAAUCUCUUCAAGUUCGAUUUGCCUCCCACUGUCUCCUUGGCUUAUGAGUUCUCGCUCUCGGAAAACUCCUCUCCUCGCAACGAAGACAACAUUGUCCUUCGGUCUAUAGAAGAGAUAUCCAAAGGAUGUCUGCGGGUAGCCGAUGAAAAUACAUCGCUCACUUCGAGGUUCAAGCUUGUCGUGAGUAUCUCGUCUUACGAAAGCCUCGCAACCCCAAACCUUGAUAUGUGCCAACGAGGGAGCUUUCCCUGUCCACAUCUCGUGAGGUGUUUUGGCAACCUUCUUAGUAGGGACUCGGUUAAGGAUAUGGGCGGCAGUCUCUAAGGCAUACCCCCAAAAAGAGAUAGGUAGUGAAGCACGACUCAUCAUAGAGCGAACCAUAUCCAAUAAGGUUCGAUUACGCCUUUCUGCCACACCAUUCAACUGCGGUGUCCUAGGAGGCGUCAAUUGCGAAACUAUUCCACACUCCUUGAGAUAAUCGUGGAAUUCAAGACUUAGGUACUCUCCUCCUCGAUCGGAUCGAAGCAUCUUGAUUUUCCUGCCCAAUUGAUUCUCCACUUCAUUCUUGAACUCUUUGAACUUUUCAAAGGUUUCUGACUUUUGCUUGAUUAAGUAGAUAUACCCAUAUCUACUAUAGUCAUCGGUAAAAGUCACAUAGAAGCGGUUCCCAUCCUUCGUGGUUGAUCUAAACGGUCCACAUACAUCGGUAUGUAUUAGGUCCAAUAGACCCUCGCCCCUUUCACAUGUACUCGUGAAGGGUGACUUAGUCAUCUUUCCAAGCAAACAAGACUCGCAUGUGUCAUCUUCCCUAAGGUCGAAUGACUCCAACACUCCAUCCUUUUGGAGUUGGGCUAUGCGUUUCUUGUUGACAUGUCCAAGACGACAAUGCCACAAGGAUGCUUUAUCCAUACUAGUGGAAGAAUCAAUAUUCAAAACAUCAUUUCCUAAGUUAUCAACAAUCAUAACGGUUUCAUAUAUUCCAUUACAUGGUAUAGCUUCAAAGUAAAAGACACCAUUUAGAUAAGCCAAAAUAGAACCAUUCUCAUUAUUAAAAGAAAAUCUAAAUCCUUGUCUAUAUAAACCAUGAAAUGAAAUGAUGUUUCUAGCCAUUUCUGGCGAAUAGCAACAAUUGUUCAAAUCUAAAACCAAACUAUUCCUAAGCACUAAAGAAUACACUCCAAUCUUGGUCACAGGCGACGAUCUUCUGUUCCCCAUGAUUAGAUUGAUCCUUCCUUGCUCCACAUCCCUACUUCUUCUUAGUCCCUGCACAUUAGAACAAAUGUGAUAACCACAACCGGUAUCAAGAACCCAAGAAAUAGCAUGAUUAGAAUCGUUAGAUUUGAUUGUAUAUAUACCUGCGAAAGAUGGCUUGAUCUUUCCUUCUUUGAUUGCUUGCAGGUAAUCCGGGCAGCUUCUCUUCCAAUGUCCUAUCUUGUGGCAGUGGUGGCACUCUGCCUCCUUCGGGUUAGAGCAGGGCUUGGCGGGAUCAACUUUGGUCCCACUAGAAGAGGCACCAUCUCGGGCUUUCACCUUGCGAUAGUUCUUCGAUGAAGCUUUCCUCUUCUUUCCCUUCCCUUGUCCAAUAGCCAAGACAGGAGCAGCGGGCGGAUUGGGAGUAGGUGCAACAGACUUGUCCUUGAAGUUGCUCUCAGCAACCCUCAAGAGACCUUGGAGCUUGCUUAGGGUGACCUCUUCUUUGUUCAUGUGGUAGGUCAUCCUAAAUUGGUUGUACAUCGGAGGCAAAGAGUGAAGCACCAUGUCGAUCGCCAAGUCUUCACCGAAGUCAACAUUUAACUUGCGGAGGCGGUCAACAUACCUUUGCAUCUUUUGCAAGUGCACGGUAAGAGAUUCUCCAUGACCCAUCUUCGCGGAAAUCAUGUUAGUGAAAAUCUCGUACCUCUCUUGUCUCGCGUUUUGGUGGUACCUCUCCAAUAAGUCUUGAUGCAUCUCGUACGGGUACAUGUCCUCGUAGGACUUUUGGAAUUCGGAGUUCAUGGUGGCGAUCAUGAUGCAAUGUACCUUCGUUGCAUCUCGCUCAUGAGUUUCAAAGGCGGUGAUUUCGGCGGGAGUAGCAAUUUCGGGGUUGAUUUUCUCGAGCUUCUCAUCGAGGACAUACUCCUUAUCCUCAUAGCGAGCAAUGGUGCGAAUGUAUCUUAUCCAUUCGCUAAAGUUCGUUCCAUCGAAGGUGACCUUUUGGCAAAGGCUCAUCAACGUGAAAGAACUAGCAGCAGCGUUGUUUGCGUUCGACAUCUACAAUUAGAAAAGGACAAAGAUAGAUUAGAAUAAGAAUCCCUAAUUAUCACCCAAUAAGAAAAUUAGGGCUAGGAUCCAACAAUAACAUUUACAUACUAGAAAAGGGAUGCCGUAAUCUAACAUGCAAAUAAAUUGAAGGUAAGUGAAUGACGAUUCACUAAUUCUCCAUCACAAAACUUAAACUAUUAGUCCUAAGUGUUUUUGAGAAUUCCUAGGUUCGGAUGAGAUUCAUUGAAACUAUUCAAUGGCAUGUUUAAAUCUCGAUAUGCCCCUCUUGUUUGUGACUGGGAUGCCGAGGAUCACAAAGCGGGUGUGAAUUACCAUGCAAAUUCACAUGGUGCCUUCAUUGUAACAAUCACCUAUUCGAUGUGCCGGUAAACCACACACGCUCCAUCGAACUAUGAUAAACAAUGAAUCACCCUUUGCCACCUUCGCUUAGAACCAAUUAGUGUGCCGGUAAACCACACACGCUCCACUAACAUCUUAGCAAGGUGCAAAGUGUAAUUUCAUGGGAUUGCAUCAAUUCACUUUUCCUAAAGUAACUAGGAUUGGGAAAUUUUAAAAAAAUGUGUAGUUACUUUAUAUUUCUUAUUAUACUUUUAAUGAGAGGAUGAGGUUGCCCUAUCCUACCCGUUCGGCUAACGACCCUCCACCAAUCAAGCAAGCGGUGGGUGUGAGUGUACACCCAUUAAGCGCCAUUUUAUAGGCCGCAACCUUAUACCCACCUUAUAGAUCGGCUUCGUGAAUGAGGCCUACUAACGGUAAGACUAGCAUUUAGUUAUACAUAUAUAUAUUAUUCUAGUAAUAUCAUAUUAGUAUAGGGUUGUAUUUUAAAACUUUUAAAAUCUAGGGUUUGAAAUUUAAGUUGUCUAAAUUAAAACUUUUAAUCACAAAAGUAAAUUUCAAAACAUGAGGGUAGGUUUUAAACAUUUAAAACAUGGAGGAUCAAAUAACAAAUAAUUCCAAUUAACAAUUAAUAUCCUAAUUAUCUAUAUUUGAUUUAUUCAAGAUUUCUUUUAAAGAUAAUUACCAAAAUAAUCAAAAUAAUUAAUUAAUUAUCAUAUAAGGAAAUUAAAUAUUUAAUUAGUUGAUAAUUACCUUUAACUAGAUCAAGAUAAUAGUUAUAUUUAUCAGAAAAACGAAUUAAUGUUGAUCUAAUUAGUUUAUGGUAAGUUAAGAUAAGAUAAACACAAAGAAAUCCCGAAUCUGGCCAUUCCUGACGCCUGGACUCGCCGAGUGCACAAAUGGACUCGCCGAGUCAGGCCUACUCGCCGAGUCCACUUUGAGACUCGCCGAGUCCAUGACUCAGAAACCAAAAAUUCGAAUUUUGCAGGUUUGUUUCAGUUAAUCAAGCAACAAUUUACAGAAAACCAAGCUAGGCUCUGAUACCACUGAUGGGUUUUAGCCAUAAGAACUUUCCUAUGUGCGCAUGCAAAACCCUAAUGCUUGGAUCUAGGCUUUCUAAUAAACAUGCUUUGAAUCCAAGACUUCUAAUUACUAAUUAGGUUAAACAAGAACAUUAAAACAGAUCUAGAAUCAUACCUUUGAGUUCCUUGUUGAUCUUGAGGUCUUGGAGCUUCUAGAGUCACAAAUGUCACUCCUCUAAUGGCUUACAAACACCAAAGCAAGGAGGAUGAUUUGGGAGAGAGGAGAGGGGAGGAAUUUCGACCAGAGGUUCCUUACUUUAGGUCAAGUGUCGAAUUCCAUCAGCCAUGGGGUCUAUUUAUACUUGUAGACUCCUUAAGGAUUACAGAUAAGUCCCUAUCAGAUAAUCUUCUCUUAAGGCUAUCCAAAUCCAUUCCUAGAUAACUCUAAUGGACGAUUUUAGCUAUCCUAAUCCUCUUAGAAUUCGUCCAUAGUAUAUCCAAAUGGAUUUACAGUUUAAAGCUUAACUAUCAAACAAUUGACAGUUUAUACCCCUUUAUUUAAUUAAUCUCUUUAAGUCACCAAAUUAAUUCAAAUUAAUUCUAUGACUUAUAUUAAUCAAAUAAAUAUAUAUUAUUCUUUAUAUUAUUCUCAUAAUAUAUUAAUAAUAUUUACUCUCUCUUAAUAAAUCAUCCUAUCAAGUUGCUAUGGUGAAGGCAACCCAAAAGGACCAUGCACAACCGGGUCAGAUACUUGCCUAAUAUAGUUGCAGCCUUAGACACUAUUCCAACAGUCUCCCACUUGGAUAAGUCUAGUAACUAUAUGCACAAGUACAAUUCGGUUUGCAAUCGUAGCUCUCAAAGACGCUGUCAAACUCUGAUCUAAUCAAUCUUGUCCUUUAGAUAAGGGAUCGUACAAUCCUCUGUUAGAUAUCAUGCUGACAAUCCUAUGGAAUGGUUAGUCAAGCAUUUAGGUUUCUCGAUCUCUGAUUUAUUUGACAUAGAACUUAAUCCUGAGGUAACUUUUGAGAAUCUCAACGAAGAUGUUGCCUCAUCUCAACCGGAGGUCUUGCAGCCCAUCUC